UGAUAAGAAAAUGAGAAAGAGAGAGAGAGAGAGAAUUAGUAAAAGCGUAAUGAUUUUGCAAAAGCACGACAGCCUUAACAAUUUCGAAUUUAAUAGUGUUGAAAAAAAUACUUUUAAAGUUUUCUUAAAAAUUUGCAGAAAUUUUUCCAAGUUUCUUGAAAUGUUAAAAGUAAUUAGAUUAUACUAUAUUUUUUAGCCCAAAAAAGUAUAAAUAUUUGUUCUAGAAAUUUAAAAGUAGUUUUUUACAGACUUUUUAAAUUAUUUUUAAUAAAAAAUAAAAAUAAAAAGGUGUUUGAACACAAGAUCUUACAUAAUUGAGUAAAUUAUAAAAUAUCCUUUUUCAUAUUAUAUAAUAAGGUAAUAUUUACUUACUUAUAUUUAUAUAAAAUUAUAUAUACAUUUAUGUAUACAUGCGCAUAUAAAAAAAUGCAGAAAUUAUACCAAUAAUAACAUAAAUUAAAAUAUACAUGCAUCGAUUAAUGCAUUUGUUCAGUAGAGGAGAAAAGAGAAGGGAGAAGGGAAUAUCCAUCGUUUUUUUUUUUUUAAUGGAAAUUGAGUAGCUGAUAUUAACAAACGUCAUUUAAAUUUAAACAAAUUGAAAAUUGACGAGUGCAAAAGUGAUUUAAAUUGUCUCGCAACAUUCUGAGAAACAUUCUUUCAGCCUUUUUCCCCUCUCUCCUCUUUUCCACUAUAUUAUGAUUAAAUGAAUAACAACCUCGACAUUUUUUACUUCAUAUUUGUGCGAGAACCAUCGGAAUGGAGGUCGUGCACAUAAAUAACAUCGUAAUUUACUAUAUUGUAAUUUAGAAUGGCACGUGUUUCACGAAGCGGUCGGUCGUCGCACGCACGGGCCAAACCCGGCGGCUCAGGGCUAACGGGAUUAUAUAUUAAUCGGCGAGUGUCCGUCACGGAUCUCGGAUGAGAAUCGCUGGCGCGCGUGCGACGCGAAUGCGCGAGUACGAGCGCGCGAGCCAAGUCGCGUCGCGUCGCGCUGCGUCGCGCCGCGCCGCGCUACGCGAAGAGGAUGGGAGCGUCGCAUAUACAACUGACAAUGAGCUGCGUUAACGGUGUCAGGAUGACAUCCUCUCGUUCUCUCUUGUUCUCGUUUUUAAUUUUAUUUCUAUCUCUUCCUCUCUCUCUCUCUCUCUCUCUCUCUCUCUCUCUCUCUCUCUCUCUCACUUCUCUUCGCGAUCCUUCGUAUCAUAUUUCGUUUGUGCGAUUAAUCGUAUUCGAUUCGAUUAUGAGAAAUGCAUUAACCGCUGCUCUGCGUACCGGAUAUCAUUAACGCAGCCGACUGUACGUGCGUUCUUGUCGCGAGAAUGAAUAUUCCCGGGGCCGCACGCAAAUGCGUCCUUGUGCGGAUUAAUUGCUGCGUCCGCGCUCGCAUUAAUUGCGUGCUCUCUUUUCCACGCUCCAACCUCUUUUGCCCUCCGCCCCUCUCGCUUCUUCCCCCUUAUGCGCGCGCGCGGGGAAACGUCGCCCAAUUGCGAGCAAUUUAUUCGGCCCGUCGUGGGUCAAUGCUAGAUGCCCGCGCGCCAUAUGCCGCUGUCGUCGCUGUCCGCGAACAGUUUCCACUCGAAUCGUCGUCGCCAUCGAAUAUUCGUGACUGGAAUUAUUCGCGUAUGUAGAACGGCGGAGAUGAGAUGAGACCAGAGCUCUCUGACUUCGCGGGAGAUGAUAACUCGAAACAUGCAUGAUUACGCGGAAAAAGCGAGUUUUGCUGAGGCGUCUAAAAAUUUCCUGGUUGGAUACAGAGAGCUGAAAAUAAUUUGAUUGAAUCAUCAAAAUAGUUAUGCAGGAUGCUCCAGCAUGAUAAGGAAUGCUACAAAAAAUUUCGACAUUCCAGCUUGAGCGUCCUGUAUUAUUAUUUUAAUGGUUUAACAAAAAAUGAUUUUCAGAUGUUCUGCAGUCAAAUUUUUAGGUAUUUCAACAAAACGUUCUUGUCCUGUGUUUACCGGUGUUUGCAGAUAUGUAUAGGUACAGAAGGCGAAUUUAACGAAUCAACCGGUGGCUAAACCGCACAACAAUUCUCAGAAUCGUGAAAGUAAAGAUCCAGAAUGUUCAUCGUUCCUCGGAAUGCUCGAGACAAACGAGCUUUUAGUAAGUCAGUUCGAAGUAUUCCGGACGUAUUUUGAGAUUUAGCGCCACGGGCGCCAUGCAGCUCAGCCAGCUGACGAGUUUAUUCUUGCUGCAACAUUCAUAAAAUCUAAGUGUAAACGAGAAUUAUUCAGAAAGAUAGACAUGCAAGAUCGCACCUCACCUCUUCGGCAUAGUCCGCAACAAUUCCUGCGACAGACACGGAUGUAAUUGCAGGAAUGGUGUGCCGACGAUAGGGUGAAUCGCUUGCGAUAAUUCCUUGUAAUUUAAUGUAGAACCAUCGAUUGUCUGAGCCUCAUCUACGGUUACCGGGUUAACACCGACGAAAUCUAGAAAAAAAAAAAAAUAAACUGAAAGAAUAAAUGCACACCAGGUUUCUCUCUCUCUCUGUCUCACUGACAAUUGCUUCCCGCUGAAUAAAUACGUGAAAAAGAAGAUCAGUGUCAUCAAUUAAUAAUCUUGUAAACGAUAUGAUGCAUUUCCGCCUCAUCGAAAUGUGUUAUCGGGAUUAAUUAAUACCGCCGGCGUAUCUGCGCGAAUAUUGAAAUUGUCGGACACGUUUGCGUUUAUAAUCAAUAAAACGAUGUGCACGCGAGGCAGGGAUAACGCGAGUGCACGGCGCCGGCAAUUGCAAAUUUCAUUACGGAUCUUUUUCUUGAGGUGCUCGAUGCCAGUGAUCCGUCGAUUACCUGAUUUCCAACCGUUGAAGAAGAGAACCGGGACGCUGUAGCUAAUAGACCACAGAAUGUGAUGCUCGAUAAUGAAAGGAGUUUCGCUCGC